UACGGAGGGGGCGAGCGUUGUUCGGAAUCACUGGGUGUAAAGGGUGCGUAGGCGGUUCGUUAUGUCUGUGGUGAAAGCCCUGGGCUCAACCUAGGAAUGGCCAUGGAAACUGGCGGGCUGGAGUAUGGCAGAGGGGGGUGGAAUUCCGCGUGUAGCAGUGAAAUGCGUAGAGAUGCGGAGGAACACCGAUGGCGAAGGCAGCCCCCUGGGCUAAUACUGACGCUGAGGCACGAAAGCGUGGGGAGCAAACAGG
rnacentral:rRNA from 1 species